CUGCACCUGCUGGCGGCCGUGCCAGGCAGCCCGGGCGAGCGAAGGCGCGCUGCGCGCACGACAGAUGACUGGAGUCAUUUACAUUGCUAGCACGUGGGUGCCGUUUGCUGUUGCCUCGGACUUCUCCCGUGCUGUGUUCUCCCGGUGGGGAAACAGGAGGCACUUUGCAGCCAACAAUGAAAUCUUGGCAGCUAAUUGCAGUCGUGGGAGAUGCCCUUCAGGAUAUCAAAGCAGACUGCAAUACCUGCGUGGAAAUAGAGGACAGAAAGGCUUAAUUAUAAAUCUCUUGGGAGAAGAGGCAAGGCCUGUGGGUUCCUGGGAAAACAGUGUUGCAUCUCUAGGCUUGAAGGUCUGCUCCUCUGCUCAGAAGUUUCAAGACAACAGAUGAAUUGUGAAAGAGAGCAGCUAAGGGUGGAGGGGUGAGAUUGAACUAUCAAAGCCUGGCUGAGAAAAAGCAAAAUCCUUGAUGGAAAUCUCUGGAACAGGGAAAAAUGAGCAGAACUGGCACCAAGGAAGCAUUAGGAGAGAGAAGAUAGUGGGGAAGCAGAAAGGAAC
rnacentral:sRNA from 1 species